AGGACGAACGCUGGCGGCGUGCUUAACACAUGCAAGUCGAGCGAGGCUCUCCUUCGGGAGAUGUCCUAGCGGCGAACGGGUGAGUAACACGUGGGCAACCUGCCUCUAGCUCUGGGAUAACUCCGGGAAACCGGGGCUAAUACCGGAUACGACCUCGAGCGGCAUCUAUCGAGGUGGAAAGUUUUUCGGCUAGAGAUGGGCCCGCGGCCUAUCAGCUUGUUGGUGAGGUAACGGCCCACCAAGGCGACG
rnacentral:rRNA from 1 species